GUCAUGCCGAAACCUGUGGAGAUAAGAGUCAGGGUCAGCUAGGGCAAGUAGUCUCUAUCUGGUGCGAGCACUUGGCAGGCGAAUACAGAUGCUGCGGGAUCAACCAACUUCUGUCUUAACUGAUUUAAAUCAGGUGGGGGUAGGACAGUGUUUGGGUGGAAAUUUCACCCCAGCCCCCUGACACCCAAAUAUCCAAAGAGUCUGGAAUGUUCUGGUGGAAGUUCUAUCCUAAGCCCCCUCCCCUGGGAGUUGCCUCAGUCCAGAUUCCACCUCCGAGAAAGUCCGCCAAACGAUGACCCCUCCCCAGAGAUGCUCAAGACCAUUCCCAUAGGGUAUUUAAACUGCCCCCCCCCCCAGAGAACAAACACGUGGUUUUCUGGUCUUCCUUCCCAGUCUCGUCUCUGGGGUCUGGAAGGCCACCGGGAGUAUUGAUAUCCAUUAAACAUGGACUUUUUCUGAUUCAGUUUGAUUUGGUCUGAUUUGGAUUACUGUGUAGGGGGAGAGGUUUAUUGGGGUGCAGAAACUUUUCAUCUGGAGGUCCCACCAAGGGGAGCUUUUUUUCUCACUGGCCCAAGGCCAUGUGUACGGAAAACACCUUUCUCCCCCAGCACCUGCUCUUGGUCGCCAGGCUAUGAUUGGCUUCAUCUAGCACCUGCUGAUCUGGUCCUCAGUGGGACCGCCCGUGUGCUUGCCUGGCUCCUGCAGCCCACGCCAGGAUUUCAAAGUUGGUCAGCUGACACAGUUUCCUGGGAAAAGAUUAUAACAGCUCUGGAAAAAUACUAACACGUGAAUAGCCAACAUUUUUGGUUGAAGUCAAAGUGAAAACCUCAGUGCCAUCUUUGGUAAGAGUACCCACAUGCCCUGGACCUACCAAGGAGACAUUCUGCCUCCAAAAUUCUUUAACUUACUAAAAUAUUCCUUCUAAUCUUCUUGCCUUUACUGGCAUUGGUAAGCUGUAACUGAUUGGGUAAACUAUAUGUCCAAACUUAACUUAUAUGUCUAAUUUAGAUACACCUAACAGAUAAUGGUACCCUGAUUCUCAAGUGCCUUUACAGAUCUGAGAGUAUGGCACUUAACAAAAGAGCUUCUUAUGACAGAGCCAUGCCAGCUCCUGCAACAUCCUGUAUCUCCUCCAAGAAGAUGCAUGGCUGAAGAAGACCUGUCUGGAGGCUUGCCUUUGGGUAUGGCAAAGCCACCCAUGCAGCAAAAAGCUGCCUUCCACCUCAGCUUCCUGGACUGGGGGGAUCAAUCAUCUCAUCCUGCCAAGACAGGUAGACUGAACCCUACCCCCACAGGAAAAUCUUCAGGCCUCCUGGACUCAGCAGCCAAAGGCAAGUACUGCUUCUAAGACUGGUAUUCGCCAAAGACUAUGGAGAGACUUGGGAUUACCUGUGUAGCAAAAAAAAAAAAAAAAGCCAUGUCACUUCUGCUCAUUUACCUAUCCCUCUCAGAUCUGUCUGAUGGUGUUUGGUGACUUAGGGUACUGGUAGCUCGUUACUUCAUUUGUUAAGUUUCCUGCUAACGUACAGACAGAUGUGUCUUUUCCACAGGCUUCAUAGUCCAAAAUUGACAGGUUUCAGAUGUAUCUUCAGAGGUUCAGAG